AUUGAACGCUGGCGGCAUGCCUAACACAUGCAAGUCGAACGGCAGCACAGCCCGCAAGGGUGGGUGGCGAGUGGCGGACGGGUGAGGAAUACAUGGGAAUCUACCCUGUCGUGGGGGAUAACGUAGGGAAACUUACGCUAAUACCGCAUACGACCUCCGGGUGAAAGCGGCGGACCGCAAGGCGUCGCGCGACGGGAUGAGCCCAUGUCGGAUUAGCUAGUUGGCGGGGUAAAGGACCACCAAGGCGACGAUCCGUAGCUGGUCUGAGAGGAUGAUCAGCCACACUGGAACUGAGACACGGUCCAGACUCCUACGGGAGGCAGCAGUGGGGAAUAUUGGACAAUGGGCGCAAGCCUGAUCCAGCAAUGCCGCGUGGGUGAAGAAGGCCUUCGGGUUGUAAAGCCCUUUUGUACGGGAAGAAAUCCUGUCGGUUAAUACCCGGCGGGGAUGACGGUACCGUAAGAAUAAACACCGGCUAACUUCGUGCCAGCCGCCGCCGUAA
rnacentral:rRNA from 1 species